CGGGCUAUGGCCUAACUAGUAAGGCGCGCGAUUCGGGUUCGUGGGGUUGCCGGUUCAAGUCCGGCUACCCCCGGCCA
rnacentral:tRNA from 1 species